UUAAGAUACUAAGAGCAUACGGUGGAUGCCUUGGCGAUAUCUGCCGACGAAGGACGUGACAAGCUGCGAAAAGCUGCGGAGAGAUGCAAAUAAUCGGCGACCCGCAGACAUCCGAAUGGAGCAAUCCGGCUGUGAUGAUGCACAGCCAUCCAUGCCCAAGAGCAUGAGAAGGGAACCGGGCGAACUGAAACAUCUAAGUAACCCGAGGAAAAGAAAUCAAACGAGAUACCCCAAGUAGCGGCGAGCGAACAGGGAAGAAGCCCAAACCGGUGAAGGAAACUUUACCGGGGUUGAGGACCAUCAGACCCGCGAAGAACCUUAGCCGAAACUGUUGGGAAACAGUGCCGAAGACAGUGAAAGCCUGGUAGGCGAAAAAGAGAAACGCGGAGAUGGCACCGGAGUACCGCGGGACACGAGAAAUCCCGUGGGAAGCAGGGGGGACCACCCUCCAAGGCAAAACACAGAUAUCGACCGAUAGCGCAUAGUACCAUGAGGGAAAGGUGAAAAGCACCCCGGGAGGGGAAUGAAAGAGAACCUGAAACCGUAUGUUUACAAGCAGUCGGAGACCGCUUAAUAAUAAGGUCGACGGCGUGCCUAUUGAAGAAUGAACCGGCGAGUUACGAAGCCUGGCAAGGUUAAGCAGGAAAUGCGGAGCCGAAGCGAAAGCGAGUCUUAAGAGGGCGCAAGUCAGGAAGCGUAGACCCGAAACCACAGUGAUCUACCCAUGUCCAGGUUGAAACACAGGUAAAAAUGUGUGGAGGACCGAACCUAUAUCCGUUGAAAAGGGUUAGGAUGAGGUGUGGGUAGGGGUGAAAUUCCAAUCGAACGUGGAGAUAGCUGGUUCUCCCCGAAAUAGCUUUAGGGCUAGCCUCAGGGAAAAGAUUGCAGGCGGUAGAGCACUGAUCAGGAGAGGGACCUACCCGGUUACCAAACCCAGUCAAACUCCGAAUGGCUGCAAUCAUACCUGGGAGUCAGACUGCGACUAAUAAGGGCCGCAGUCAAAAGGGAAACAGCCCAGACCAUCAGCUAAGGUCCCCAAUGCCGUGCUAAGUGGAAAAGGAUGUGGCAUUUCAUAAACAACCAGGAUGUUGGCUCAGAAGCAGCCACCAUUUAAAGAGUGCGUAAUAGCUCACUGGUCGAGAGACGCUGCGCCGAAAAUGUCCGGGGCUCAAGCACGGAACCGAAGCUAUGGCAUGAUAGCAAUAUCAUGGGUAGGGGAGCGUUCUUAUAAGGAAGAAGCAUGACCGGAAGGACAUGUGGACGAAUAAGAAGUGAGAAUGCCGGUAUGAGUAUCGAAAAGAAAGGUGAGAAUCCUUUCCACCGAAAGCCCGAGGGUUCCUGAGCAACGAUCGUCGACUCAGGGUAAGUCGGGACCUAAGCCGAGGCGGAAAGCGUAGGCGAUGGACAACAGGUUGAAAUUCCUGUACCGGAUCAAGUCGAUCGAGCGAAGGAGCGACGCAGGAGGGCACAUGAUCGCGCGGCUGGAAGAGCGCGUCCAAGUGCGUAUGUUGCAGCAGAGGAAAACCCCUGCAGCUAAAAGCAGAGACAUGAUGGGGAGUUAAAGGAAACUUUGACGAACUCAUGGAUCCCACACUGCCAAGAAAAACUUCUAGCGAGACAAGAUCCGCCCGUACCGUAAACCGACACAGGUAGGCGGGGAGAGAAUCCUAAGGUGCGCGGGAAAACCCUCGUUAAGGAACUCGGCAAAUUGCAUCCGUAACCUAGGGAGAAGGAUGGCCCCCGGUCAGUGAAGAGCAGAAACGCUCAGAGCUAAAAGGGGCGGCAGAAAAGAGGCCCAAGCAACUGUUUACCAAAAACACAGGUGCCUGCGAAAGCGAAAGCUGAAGUAUAGGUGCUGACGCCUGCCCGGUGCCGGAAGGUUAAGGAGAGAAGUUAGCGAAAGCGAAGCAUCGAACUGAAGCCCCGGUGAACGGCGGCCGUAACUAUAACGGUCCUAAGGUAGCGAAAUUCCUUGUCGGGUAA
rnacentral:rRNA from 1 species